rnacentral:tRNA from 1 species
GGAGAGGUGCUGGAGUGGCUGAACAGGGCUGCCUGCUAAGCAGUUGUAGGGCUAACACCUUACCGGGGGUUCGAAUCCCCCCCUCUCCGCCA